GAUGAACGCUGGCGGCGUGCCUAAUACAUGCAAGUCGAGCGAACGGACGAGAAGCUUGCUUCUCUGAUGUUAGCGGCGGACGGGUGAGUAACACGUGGAUAACCUACCUAUAAGACUGGGAUAACUUCGGGAAACCGGAGCUAAUACCGGAUAAUAUUUUGAACCGCAUGGUUCAAAAGUGAAUGACGGUCUUGCUGUCACUUAUAGAUGGAUCCGCGCUGGAUUAGCUAGUUGGUAAGGUAACGGCUUACCAAGGCAACGAUGCGUAGCUGACCUGAGAGGGUGAUCAGCCACACUGGAACUGAGACACGGUCCAGACUCCUACGGGAGGCAGCAGUAGGGAAUCUUCCGCAAUGGGCGAAAGCCUGACGGAGCAACGCCGCGUGAGUGAUGAAGGUCUUCGGAUCGUAAAGCUCUGUUAUUAGGGAAGAACAUAUGUGUAAGUAACUGUGCACAUCUUGACGGUACCUAAUCAGAAAGCCACGGCUAACUACGUG
rnacentral:rRNA from 1 species